GUGCUCAUCUCCACUCAACAUGACGAGACCGUGACUAACGAUGAGAUAGCUGCUGAUUUGAAGGAGCAUGUCAUCAAGCCGGUUAUACCCGAGAAGUACCUUGAUGAGAAAACCAUUUUCCACCUUAACCCGUCAGGCCGUUUCGUCAUUGGAGGUCCCCAUGGUGAUGCUGGUCUCACUGGUCGCAAGAUUAUCAUUGAUACUUAUGGAGGAUGGGGUGCUCAUGGUGGUGGGGCUUUCUCUGGUAAAGAUCCUACCAAGGUGGAUAGAAGCGGGGCUUACAUUGUGAGGCAGGCUGCAAAGAGCAUUGUUGCUAAUGGACUAGCUAGGAGGUGCAUCGUGCAAGUCUCCUACGCCAUUGGUGUACCUGAACCAUUGUCUGUAUUUGUGGACACUUACGGUACUGGAAAGAUCCCAGACAAGGAAAUUCUCAAGAUUGUGAAGGAGACCUUUGACUUCAGACCAGGAAUGAUUGCCAUCAAUCUUGAUCUUAAGAGAGGGGGCAAUAGCAGGUUCUUGAAGACUGCUGCGUAUGGUCAUUUUGGUCGG
rnacentral:lncRNA from 1 species